CACGCCCCUUCCUUCCGAGGAGCUUUCUGCCUGCCCAAGCUGGUAGACCCCCUGAUUUAUUCUUCCAUCUCCGCUCUCUUUCGCCUCAUCUUCUCUUAGUUCUCACCGCCCCUCCACCCCCACCUCCAGUCUGUCUUGCCUCCGACCAUCCGCUGCUCCACCCUCCGGCCCGGUAUCCUGCCUGUCCACUGCCACCAAGGAGAGCCCGGACAGAGCAGCGAGGAGGGGACCAGGCGGGAGUUGGGGCUUCCCCCUGACCAUCCCUGGCCUCCGGCCCGGGACCGAAGCCACUUGAGCGAGCAGAGAGUCGUCACCUUGUCUUCGGUGCCUUCAGGGAGCUGCUGAGAAGGACAAAUAGCAGAAGGGAAAGAGGCUUUCUCUCCUUGGAAGAAAGGCUAAGAUACUAAAGAGUGACCAGUGGUUGGACUCUUGGCGGCGCUUACCCUGAACCUGUGUGUUAGGGGAGAGGGAAUCUGCCGUUGCGGUUUCUG